rnacentral:rRNA from 1 species
GACGAACGCUGGCGGCGUGCCUAAUACAUGCAAGUCGAACGCUGAAGGAGGAGCUUGCUUCUCUGGAUGAGUUGCGAACGGGUGAGUAACGCGUAGGUAACCUGCCUGGUAGCGGGGGAUAACUAUUGGAAACGAUAGCUAAUACCGCAUAAUAGCAGUUAUUGCAUGAUAACUGUUUGAAAGGUGCAAUUGCACCACUACCAGAUGGACCUGCGUUGUAUUAGCUAGUUGGUGGGGUAACGGCUCACCAAGGCGACGAUACAUAGCCGACCUGAGAGGGUGAUCGGCCACACUGGGACUGAGACACGGCCCAGACUCCUACGGGAGGCAGCAGUAGGGAAUCUUCGGCAAUGGACGGAAGUCUGACCGAGCAACGCCGCGUGAGUGAAGAAGGGUUUCGGAUCGUAAAGCUCGGUUGUAAGAGAAGAACGAGUGUGAGAGUGGAAAGUUCACACUGUGACGGUAUCUUACCAGAAAGGGACGGCUAACUACGUG